GGGGCUGUGGCUCAGUGGUAGAGCACUUGCCUAGCAUGUGGGAGGCACUAGGUUCAAUCCUCAGCACCA
rfam:Ictidomys tridecemlineatus contig055203, whole genome shotgun sequence.